rnacentral:sRNA from 1 species
AUGCGAUGAAAUAAACUUUUAGGUCAUUCCAAAAUGUCCAAUGCUCCACUCUCUGAGUUUCCUUCAAGACAACGAUUGUAUUUGUUAAUGUAAAGGUUAAGCUAUGUUUAUUUUUUUACAAUCGAAUGCCAGGAUGUUGACCUAAAUGGAUGGAAGUUGAAGCGCAUCGUGGAGUCUAGAUCUAUCAGACGUGAAAGUAAUGAGUAUGAGUAUGUCUUUCAGAAGUAUGUUCUUAACUCUGGAGCUCAAUUGAAGGUCUACGCCAAGUCACAAGAGGCUCUUGCCUUGCCAGGGGAUCUUGUCUAUGAAGGCGCAGAGACAUGGGGAGCAGGCAACAGGGCAACAACAAUAUUAUACAAUCAGAGUGGACAGGAAAGAGCCCGCGUUGAAGAGACAGCAAGCUUCCAGUAAAGAAAACAGUUUGUAUGCUUCGCAUCUAGUAGAGGCAUUCGGUACAUGACAUACCAAAACUGAUCUUACAAAUGUAUUCGCUUAGAACUGUUUACUUCAUUAUGCAAAAGAAUUCAAAUAAGGCAAAGAUUUUAUCUGUAUCUUUUAUCUUAUCCAUUAUCUAAACUCAACAAUGUAGUAAAGUGCAUCCUAUCUCCAAUACAUAAUCAAAUCUCACCAAUGUAGUUAUCUUUUUGAAUAACUUUAAGAAAAUAAUAAGUCGUAGGUAAUAAUUGUUUUCAGGACUUUAAUUUUGUGUAUGUGUGAAUGUUGUAAUUUGUAAAAGUUAUUGUUUGUUAUUUUUAUAGAAAAUGAAAAUAAUGUAUUCAUUGAAAGGCUUCUUGACAAAACAUUUGUCUUACUUUACUACAAGAUCAAAGAUGAACAUUAUUGUUCUACUGUGGGGUUCAAUCAUUUUACCAAUGUAUCAUUUUAUUCAGGUUUUUAGCGUUGUUGUUUUUUUUACAUACAUUCUGAAAGAGAUGGAUUAAUUUUGCUUGUAUGUUUAGAAAUAUUAUAAGCCACAUAUAGAAUUUAAUAAAGUAGCUUCAAUGGCUAGUGUUUGUAUGUGUGUGUCUGCCUUAAUUAAGUCAUGUGAAUAUUCUUUAUAAACUAAGACAAGUAUGUUCACAUAUAUGCAAUCACUGAAUA